AGACGGAAACGAACUGCUAAUACCGAAUAAGUUCCAAGAGCCGCAUGGCCCAUGGAAGAAAAGGUGGCCUCUACCUGUAAGCUAUCGCCUGAAGAGGGGUUUGCGUCUGAUUAGCUGGUUGGAGGGGUAACGGCCCACCAAGGCGACGAUCAGUAGCCGGUCUGAGAGGAUGAACGGCCACACUGGAACUGAGACACGGUCCAGACUCCUACGGGAGGCAGCAUG
rnacentral:rRNA from 1 species